UGGGCUUUCCUUAAGAGCAGCAGGUUAUGUGAUAGGAUGUUCUCUUAAGUAGGUAUGAUUCUCAAGGUUAUGCUUGUGUAGAGAUCAUAACAUCAGGAUGUUUUGCUGAUCAAUACAGGACUUCUAUGGAAAACUCUUAAACACCGUUGAGCAUAACGUCGAGUAUUUUAAGAGCUAAUCCAUGCAAUAUUCAGAAUUUCUACAACAUAUUAUAUGGAGCCUUAAAAAUAUUACCAUUUCAAGAGGUGAAUUCAAAUACAACUUUGCAUUGCUGAGUUAUUUUUCGGUGGGAUAGUGAUAUCGUAUAUAAUACACAAAAAGUGAAAAAUUGGAGAGACAUGAAGAAAAGUUGCCAUCAUAUCAACCUGAAGAGAUUGAAUAAACCAGCACAGGUCUUGAAAGAUCUUUCAGUCAGAAUUCGUCCUGGUGCCGAGUUUACUGUUUCAUAUAAUGACAAGAAACAGACAGAGGAAUGAAGGGAAUGUCACC